rnacentral:rRNA from 1 species
AGCGAACGCUGGCGGCAGGCUUAACACAUGCAAGUCGAGGGGAGCGGCAGACGGGUGAGUAACGCGUGGGAACGUACCUUUUGGUUCGGAACAACACAGGGAAACUUGUGCUAAUACCGGAUACCGAAAGAUCGGCCCGCGUGUGAUUAGCUAGUUGGUGAGGUAAUGGCCCCCCAAGGCGACGAUCAGUAGCUGGUCUGGGAGGAUGGUCAGCCACAUUGGGACUGAGACACGGCCCAAAUUCCUACGUGAGGCAGCAGGGGUGAAUGUUGGACGAUGGGGGCAAGCCUGAGCCAGCCAUGCCGCGUGAGUGAUGAAGGCCCUAGGGUUGUAAAGCUCUUUUGUGCGGGAAGCGGUACCGCAAGAAUAAGCCCCGGCUAACUUCGUGCCAGCAGCCGCGGUAAUUC